GGUCGAGUGGCAGAGCGGUCUAAUGCGAAAGCCUGCAAAGCUUUUUUACCAUGGGUUCGAAUCCCAUCUCGGCCU
rnacentral:tRNA from 1 species